UACAGAGGGGGCAAGCGUUAUUCGGAAUUGAUUGGCGUAAAGGGCGCGUAGGCGGCCUGACAAGUGGAUGGUGAAAGCCCUCGGCUCAACUGAGGAAGUGCACCCGAAACUGGCGAGCUUGAGUACGGAAAGAGGGAUCGCGGAAUUCCCGGUGUAGAGGUGAAAUUCGUAGAUAUCGGGAGGAACACCGGCGGCGAAGGCGGCGAUCUGGGUCGAUACUGACGCUGAGGUGCGAAAGCGUGGGAGCAAACAGG
rnacentral:rRNA from 1 species